UAAAAGCUUGGUCCCGGCUUUACUGUCAGCUCCAGCUUAAAUUAUACAUGCAAGUAUCCGCACCCCUGUGAGAAUGCCCUCAAUCCCCCGCCCGAGGAAGAGGAGCCGGCAUCAGGCACACAGCAUCAGCACUUUGCCCAAGACGCCUUGCCACGGCCACACCCCCAAGGGAACUCAGCAGUAAUAAACAUUAAGCUAUAAGUGAAAACUUGACUUAAUUAGGGCUAUUUAGGGUUGGUAAAACUCGUGCCAGCCACCGCGGUUAUACGAGAAACCCUAGUUGACAAAUACGGCGUAAAGAGUGGUUAAGGGUUAAAAAAAAUAAAGUCAAACAUUUUCCUAGUUGUUAUAAGCAUUUCGAAAACAUGAAGCCCAACCACGAAAGUGACUUUACCUCCACCUGACCCCACGAAAGCUAAGAAACAAACUGGGAUCAGAUACCCCACUAUGCUUAGCCUUAAACCUAGAUAUUAAUCUUACAAAAAUAUCCGCCAGGGUACUACAAGCGCUAGCUUAAAACCCAAAGGACUUGACGGUGUCUCAGACCCACCUAGAGGAGCCUGUUCUAGAACCGAUAUUCCUCGUUAAACCUCACCAUCCCUUGUUUCCACAGCCUAUAUACCGCCGUCGCAAGCUUACCCUGUGAAGGACUAACAGUAAGCAAAAUGGAUAAUAUCCAAAACGUCAGGUCGAGGUGUAGCUUACGGGGUGGCAAGAAAUGGGCUACAUUUUCUACUCAGAAUAAACGAACGGCAUUAUGAAAUUAAUUCCUGAAGGUGGAUUUAGAAGUAAAAAUCAAAUAGAGAGUCAUUUUGAACCAGGCUCUGAGACGCGCACACACCGCCCGUCGCCCUCCCCUAUAACCUCAAACACGUAAAUAACCAAAAACCUCACAAAACGGGGAGAUAAGUCGUAACAUGGUAAGUGUACCGGAAGGUGUACUUGGAACA
rnacentral:ncRNA from 1 species